UACGAAGGGGGCUAGCGUUGUUCGGAAUUACUGGGCGUAAAGCGCACGUAGGCGGAUAUUUAAGUCAGGGGUGAAAUCCCGGGGCUCAACCCCGGAACUGCCUUUGAUACUGGGUAUCUUGAGUAUGGAAGAGGUAAGUGGAAUUGCGAGUGUAGAGGUGAAAUUCGUAGAUAUUCGCAGGAACACCAGUGGCGAAGGCGGCUUACUGGUCCAUAACUGACGCUGAGGUGCGAAAGCGUGGGGAGCAAACAGG
rnacentral:rRNA from 1 species